GGGUUUACAGGAAAAUACAUGGAAAUACUCAUGUCUCAUUGCUGACAGUCUCUCAAUUCUGCCAAACGGUAGCUCACAGUCAGUCUGAGGAAAAAUGGAUAUAUGCUGAUUUUUUUUUAACCAGUGAAUGGGUUGAAACUGAAACAGUAACAUCCUCUGAAGCUGAGCAGGAUAACAAGACAGAAAAGUAGAAGCUGGUGAGAAGAAGAAGGGAUGACUAUUUAUAGCUGCUAUAAUGGGAGUGAUAACAGGGACUAAUUUGUCUCUAGGAUGUUCCUACGUUCCAAGCUAAAUAAAUGUCUGCAUCUCCACUAAGAAAUCAUGGAGGAGU